UACGUAGGGGGCAAGCGUUGUCCGGAUUUAUUGGGCGUAAAAGGCUUGUAGGUGGCCACGCCAAGUCGGAUGUGAAAUCUCCCGGCUCAACUGGGAGGGGUCAUUCGAUACUGGCGGGCUCGAGGCCGGUAGGGGGAAGUGGAAUUCCCGGUGUAGUGGUGGAAUGCGUAGAUAUUGGGAGGAACACCGGUGGCGAAGGCGGCCCCCUGGACCGGUACUGACGCUGAGGCGCGAAAGCGUGGGUAGCAAACGGG
rnacentral:rRNA from 1 species